AGUGAACGCUGGCGGUAGGCCUAACACAUGCAAGUCGAACGGCAGCACAGUAAGAGCUUGCUCUUACGGGUGGCGAGUGGCGGACGGGUGAGGAAUACAUCGGAAUCUACUUUUUCGUGGGGGAUAACGUAGGGAAACUUACGCUAAUACCGCAUACGACCUACGGGUGAAAGCAGGGGAUCUUCGGACCUUGCGCGAUUGAAUGAGCCGAUGUCGGAUUAGCUAGUUGGCGGGGUAAAGGCACACCAAGGCGACGAUCCGUAGCUGGUCUGAGAGGAUGAUCGGCCACACUGGAACUGAGACACGGUCCAGACUCCUACGGGAGGCAGCAGUGGGGAAUAUUGGACAAUGGGCGCAAGCCUGAUCCAGCCAUACCGCGUGGGUGAAGAAGGCCUUCGGGUUGUAAAGCACUUUUGUUGGGAAAGAAAAGCAGCAGGUUAAUACCCCGCUGUUCUGACGGUACCCAAAGAAUAAGCACCGGCUAACUUCGUG
rnacentral:rRNA from 1 species